rnacentral:rRNA from 1 species
UAGAGGGGUACCUGCGGAGGGAUCAUUACACAAUACAAUAUGAAGGCUGUCCGCAGCUGGAGUAUUUUAUUACCCUUGUCUUUUGCGCACUUGUUGUUUCCUGGGCGGGUUCGCUCGCCACCAGGACCACCAAAUAAACCUUUUUUAUGCAGUUGCAAUCAGCGUCAGUACAAACAAUGUAAAUCAUUUACAACUUUCAACAACGGAUCUCUUGGUUCUGGCAUCGAUGAAGAACGCAGCGAAAUGCGAUACGUAGUGUGAAUUGCAGAAUUCAGUGAAUCAUCGAAUCUUUGAACGCACAUUGCGCCCUUUGGUAUUCCAAAGGGCAUGCCUGUUCGAGCGUCAUUUGUACCCUCAAGCUUUGCUUGGUGUUGGGCGUUUUUGUCUUUGGUCGCCCAAAGACUCGCCUUAAAGUGAUUGGCAGCCGGCCUUUCUGGUUUCGCAGCGCAGCACAUUUUUGCGCUUGCCAUCAGCAAAACGGCAAUCCAUCAAGCCUCCUUCUCACGUUUGACCUCGGAUCAGGUAGGGAUACCCGCUGAACUUAAGCAUAUCAUAGGCCCG